rnacentral:rRNA from 1 species
GAUGAACGCUAGCGGCGUGCUUAACACAUGCAAGUCGAACGGGAUUGAUUGAAAGCUUGCUUUUGAAAGAUCUAGUGGCAAACGGGUGAGUAACGCGUAGGCAACCUGCCUUUGGGAUGGGGACAACAGGACGAAAGCCCUGCUAAUACCGAAUGAAGUAUCAUUUUCGCAUGGGAAAGAUAUGAAAGAUGGCCUCUGAAGAUGCUAUCACCCAAAGAUGGGCCUGCGUCUGAUUAGCUAGUUGGUGAGGUAAGGGCUCACCAAGGCGACGAUCAGUAGCCGGUCUGAGAGGAUGAACGGCCACAUUGGGACUGAGACACGGCCCAGACUCC